rnacentral:rRNA from 1 species
GACGAACGCUGGCGGCGUGCCUAAUACAUGCAAGUUGAGCGCUGAAGGUUGGUACUUGUACCAACUGGAUGAGCAGCGAACGGGUGAGUAACGCGUGGGGAAUCUGCCUUUGAGCGGGGGACAACAUUUGGAAACGAAUGCUAAUACCGCAUAAAAACUUUAAACACAAGUUUUAAGUUUGAAAGAUGCAAUUGCAUCACUCAAAGAUGAUCCCGCGUUGUAUUAGCUAGUUGGUGAGGUAAAGGCUCACCAAGGCGAUGAUACAUGGCCGACCUGAGAGGGUGAUCGGCCACAGUGGGACUGAGACACGGCCCAAACUCCUACGGGAGGCAGCAGUAGGGAAUCUUCGGCAAUGGACGAAAGUCUGACCGAGCAACGCCGCGUGAGUGAAGAAGGUUUUCGGAUCGUAAAACUCUGUUGGUAGAGAAGAACGUUGGUGAGAGUGGAAAGCUCAUCAAGUGACGGUAACUAACCAGAAAGGGACGGCUAACUACGUG